GAUGAAGAACGUAGCGAAAUGCGAUACGUAAUGUGAAUUGCAGAAUUCAGUGAAUCAUCGAAUCUUUGAACGCAUAUUGCGCUCUCUGGUAUUCCGGAGAGCAUGCUUGUUUGAGUAUCAGUAAACACCUCAACUUCCAUAUCUUUUUUGAAAUGGGAGUUGGACUUGAGUGAUCCCAACGCUUUUCCUCACCGAAAAGUGGCGGGUUACUUGAAAUGCAGGUGCAGCUGGACUUUUCUCUGAGCUAUAAGCAUAUCUAUUUAGUCUGCCUAAAAAACAGAUUAUUACCUUUGCUGCAGCUAACAUAAAGGAGAUUAGUUCUUGUGCUGACUGAUGCAGGAUUCACAAAGACAGGCUUCGGCCGACUUUGUAUACUCGAUCUCAAAUCAAGUAAGACUACCCGCUGAACUUAAGCAUAUCAAUAAGCGGAGGA
rnacentral:misc_RNA from 1 species